rnacentral:lncRNA from 1 species
GACAAAGGGAUACGACUUAAACAUCAGAAAAAUAUUAUUGAAAGUUCGAGUUACAUGUACUACAUUUAAUUUUUAACAUAAAAGACAAGUUGUGAUCUUGAAAUGCGAAAUUAACCUGAAAGUUUAAAAAAGAUUUGUAAGUUUAAUGUUUGUAUGCUCGAUAACAAAGACAUUUCGGCAGGUGUUUAUCUUGGUUUCUAAACAAAUUUAUUUGUCAUUGUACUGUAUAUGGUGUAAAAAUUUAUAUGAAUACGAGUAAGAUACGAGUAUAAUACAAAACUGUACAUGUUUUUGUUUGUCAUAUUAUUUGAGAGAGAGAGAGAGAGAGA